rnacentral:rRNA from 1 species
ACGUAGGGUGCGAGCGUUAAUCGGAAUUACUGGGCGUAAAGCGUGCGCAGGCGGUUUUGUAAGACAGGCGUGAAAUCCCCGGGCUCAACCUGGGAACUGCGCUUGUGACUGCAAGGCUAGAGUACGGCAGAGGGGGGUGGAAUUCCACGUGUAGCAGUGAAAUGCGUAGAGAUGUGGAGGAACACCAAUGGCGAAGGCAGCCCCCUGGGUCGAUACUGACGCUCAUGCACGAAAGCGUGGGUAGCAAACAGGA